UGCAAGCGGUGAUUAUAAUGACGUUAUGUCACAGUCCUGAAUACUCCAUGUGGCUUUUUUGUCACUACCUCAUCUGAGCUUGUG